rnacentral:misc_RNA from 1 species
AAAGUCGUAACAAGGUUUCCGUAGGUGAACCUGCGGAAGGAUCAUUACUGAAUUAUGAAAGUUCAUACGAUGAAAGUUUAUUCUGAAUCAUAUGAACUGUCUAAUUUCAUCUCUUUGUUAUUUAUAUGUCCAAGUUGCUUUGGCAAUUCUAUUUCCUUUUUGUGAAGAGAAUAUAGUUGCCAAAAUUGAUUUUUCUUAUCACUUUUGUUUUAACAAUUGGGUUUAAUUAUAAUGUCUAAAUGUUUUUUUUUCUUUAUUAAAAGAUAAUAAAACUUUCAACAACGGAUCUCUUGGUUCUG